AAAGCGCGCGUAGGUGGUUUGUUAAGUUGGAUGUGAAAGCCCAGGGCUCAACCUUGGAACUGCAUUYRAAACUGACUCACUWGAGUACGAGAGAGGUUAGUGGAAUUUCCUGUGUAGCGGUGAAAUGCGUAGADAUGGGAAGGAACACCAGUGGCGAAGGCGACUGACUGGCUCGAUACUGACACUGAGGUGCGAAAGCGUGGGGAGCAAACRGGAUUAGAUACCCCGGUAGUCCACGCCGUAAACGAUGUCUACUAGCCGUUGGAGGACUUGAUCCUUUAGUGGCGCAGCUAACGCGAUAAGUAGACCGCCUGGGGAGUACGGCCGCAAGAUUAAAACUCAAAGG
rnacentral:rRNA from 1 species